UACGAAGGGGGCUAGCGUUGCUCGGAAUCACUGGGCGUAAAGGUGCGUAGGCGGGUAUUUAAGUCAGGGGUGAAAUCCUGGAGCUCAACUCCAGAACUGCCUUUGAUACUGAGUAUCUUGAGUACGGGAGAGGUGAGUGGAACUGCGAGUGUAGAGGUGAAAUUCGUAGAUAUUCGCAAGAACACCAGUGGCGAAGGCGGCUCACUGGCCCGUUACUGACGCUGAGGCACGAAGCGUGGGAGCAA
rnacentral:rRNA from 1 species